rnacentral:rRNA from 1 species
UGAAUACGAGACGCUAAGGCGUCGAAGUAGUGUAUGUCAUACUUCCAAGAAAAGCUUGCACUGUCAUAGAUAAAAAACGCCUGUACCAUAACCGACACAGGUGGGUAGGUAGAGUAUACUAAGGGGCGCGAGAUAACUCUCUCUAAGGAACUCGGCAAAAUAACUCCGUAACUUCGGGAGAAGGAGUGCCUUAUUCGUAAGGUUGCAAUAACAAGAUCCAAGCAACUGUUUAUCAAAAACACAGGUCUCCGCUAAGUCGUAAGACGAUGUAUGGGGGCUGACGCCUGCCCAGUGCCAGAAGGUUAAAGAAGUUGGUUAGCAAUUGCGAAGCUGAUAACUGAAGCCCUGGUGAACGGCGCCGUAACGAUAACGGUCCUAAGGUAGCGAAAUUCCUUGUCGGGUAAGUUCCGACCCGCACGAAAGGCGUAUGAUUUGGAUACUGUCUCGGAGAGGGGCUCGGUGAAAUAGACUUGUCUGUGAAGAUGCGGACUACCUGCACCAGGACAGAAAGACCCUAUGAAGCUUUACUGUAACUUGAAAUUGAAAUUGGACUUUAUUCGCGCAGUAUAGGUGGGAGGCGUUGAUUAUAAUCUUGUGGGAUUAUUGGAGCCAUCAGUGAGAUACCACUCUUGUAAUGUUAGAUUUCUAACUUUGAAUCAUUAUCUGGUCAAAGAACAGUUUCAGGCGGGCAGUUUGACUGGGGCGGUCACCUCCUAAACGGUAACGGAGGCGUAUAAAGGUUUCCUCUGAACGGUUAGAAAUCGUAUCUAGAGUGUAAAGGCAUAAGGAAGCUUGACUGUGAGACCUACAAGUCGAGCAGGGACGAAAGUCGGUCUUAGUGAUCUGACGGUACUGAGUGGAAAGGCCGUCACUCAACGGAUAAAAGUUACUCUAAGGAUAACAGGCUGAUCUCCCCCAAGAGUUCACAUCGACGGGGAGGUUUGGCACCUCGAUGUCGGCUCAUCGCAUCCUGGGGCGGUAGUACGUCCCAAGGGUUGGGCUGUUCGCCCAUGAAAGCGGUACGCGAGCUGGGUUCAGAACGUCGUGAGACAGUUCGGUCCAUAUCCGGUGUAGGCGUUAGAAUAUUGAGAGGAGCCUUCUUUAGUACGAGAGGACCGAGAAGGACAUACCUCUGGUGUACCAGUUAUCGUGCCAACGGUAAACGCUGGGUAGCUAUGUAUGGAGUGGAUAACCGCUGAAAGCAUCUAAGUGGGAAGCCCACCUCAAGAUAAGUAUUCUCAC